AACGAACGCUGGCGGCGUGCCUAACACAUGCAAGUCGAACGCGAAAGGGGGCAACCCCCGGUAGCGUGGCAGACGGGUGAGUAACACGUGGGUAACCUACCCGGAGGUGGGGGAUAACCCUUCGAAAGGAGGGCUAAUACCGCAUGACCUCGCAGGGUCCUCGGACCUUGCGAUCAAAGCUGGCCUCUGUUUACAAGCUAGCGCCACCGGAUGGGCCCGCGCCCCAUUAGCUAGGUGGUGAGGUAACGGCUCACCAAGGCGACGAUGGGUAGCCGGCCUGAGAGGGCGAUCGGCCACACUGGAACUGCGACACGGUCCAGACUCCUACGGGAGGCAGCAGUGAGGAAUAUUGCGCAAUGGGCGAAAGCCUGACGCAGCGACGCCGCGUGGAGGAUGAAGGUCUUCGGAUUGUAAACUCCUGUCGAGUGGGACGAAUGCCGUGAGGGUGAAUAAGCCUCGCGGUUGACGGUACCGCUGGAGGAAGCCCCGGCUAACUCCGUGCCAGCAGCCGCCGUAAAAC
rnacentral:rRNA from 1 species